rnacentral:rRNA from 1 species
UACGUAGGGGGCAAGCGUUGUCCGGAUUUAUUGGGCGUAAAGAGCGUGUAGGCGGUCAGGUAGGUCCGUUGUGAAAUCUCGAGGCUCAACCUCGAGACGCCGAUGGAAACCAUCUGGCUAGAGUCCGGAAGAGGAGAGUGGAAUUCCUGGUGUAGCGGUGAAAUGCGCAGAUAUCAGGAAGAACACCAGUGGCGAAGGCGGCUCACUGGCCCGGUACUGACGCUGAGGCGCGAAAGCGUGGGGAGCAAACAGG